rnacentral:lncRNA from 1 species
UCUAAAAUAGCCACUCCCACAGCUACAAUCGGUCAUCCAUGGGAGCUCCGGAAUUUACGAUGAAUCGGACCUCACGUUGUAUUUUGUGUAAUCGAUAGAGAGAGACUAAUGAAGAUAAACGGUCUCUCUCGCUAAAACCGACGGUUUCUCUCUCUAGGAAAGGACAAAGACGACGACAAAAAAAAAGCUUCAUAGAUAAACGGUCAUCAUCUUCUGAACAGAAUCAUCUGUCACGGAAGCGUCAAGAGGUCCGAAAAUGGUCGAAAAUGGUAGUGAAUUGGAGAAAUCGACGCCGGAGGAGCGGAGUGGUUUCGACGGCUGCGGAAUCCAGGUGCAGAUCGUAUUCGCUUACAAUCAGCAGAUGGGUAAUGCCUUUGUCUAUCGCUGGAUACGUACGUGAUUUAGAUUAGGUUUUGAUUUUUCUGAAUGGGGUGCUGGGCUGUUAGUAUAUUUUGGUUUAGUUAAGAACUUAUUUUAUGUUUAUGGGCCAGUUGAGUUGAGUGCAUCAGUGCAUGUAUCCCGCCGUAUCAGUGCAUGUAUCGACCACUAACCCCUAACAUGCCUUUCCUACACCCUUAACUGUUAGUAUAUUUUGUCUACACCCCUAACCCCCACUAGGAAAGGCAUGUGCAUCAGUGCAUGUAUCGACCACUCAUUCCGACUGUUGAUGUAUGUGAGACUGCGAGAGAUCGGAACUUAUUUCGUUUGCAUUGAAUAUCCUACCGACUCAUAAAUAAAAAUCAUGAAACUAACUAUUUUUGUAAGUGUUUAUUUAGGUUAGGUAUUGACUUUUAACAUCAGUGGUAAAGAUUGAGGUGAUUCGAUGGGUUAAAAACGACAAUUGUAGGUUAUGUUUUAGUUUUGCUUCUUCUUUUGGUUUUAUAUAGAAUAUUGAUUAACAAGUUUGUGAUGCCUACAAUUAGUUUGAUUUCCAAAUUGAAGCUCUAUGUUACUAAUUUAAAGUAUAAUGGUUAACUGUGCAUAGUGGGCCACAUAAAAUUAGUGUACAGAUUGGUUAUUAAUCAAUGGUGGAUGCUUCAAGUUUGGUUGAAAUUUCAGGUCAAGUGUAGUCAUCAAAGUCAAACCUGAUACUGUUGAGUUAUAGCUGGUUUGGAGUUGUGUCCAGCCCCUAAUUGUGUUGCAAAUCACAUAUGCCUUCAGUCUUAUUGACAUGUAAAAUUAAUGGCAAAACAGUACUUCCAACUCCAGAUUUUGUUAGAAGUUAGAUGCUCUUUUGGACCUUUUUUACUGACAGGUUACAGGCUGCUUUAGGUGUAAAUUAUGAGUGUCGAUUUACAGGAUAUCUAAGACUGUUUUCAGAUAUUAUUAAGCUACAAAAAUCACUUACUAAUUUUGAUCAUGCAGUAAGAAAGAGAGAUUGUAAUGAAGGUCCUCGAGACUAUAGCUGAUGUUGGCCCAGAUACCCAACUAUCGGAUAAUGAGAACUCGCUUUUCGAUCUCGAUGAUGAUGCCACGAAUAAACUUGACCGGAUGCUUCAAUUACUAGCGAGCUAUUCACUUGUGCCACGUACACCCAAGGGGACUGUAAAUCUAAGCCGGCUAGAGUGUAUGGACAUGCGUUUGUUGCGAGGCCCUUUAUCCUUAUCGAGGAUGCAACGUCGUUUGUCCGAUGAUGGAUUUGUUGCAAGAUGAGGUGACCAUCAAGAACUGUGAUUGUGGAGGAAAAAAGGGUGAUAAGUGUAAUCAAAGGGGUCUAUGUAAUAAUCAUGGAUAUGAUAUUUUCAAAAGGGUUAUGUAUAUGUUUGUGAUAUAAACUCUUCAAUACUUGUGGAUUAUAAUGUUUUUUUUAUUGUUGCAGUGAGCUUUUUUUAAAAAUUUUGUAUGGCAAUAAAGAAUAUUUUCCUUUUGUUCAAGUGUUCUCUUGAUUCUGUAUGCACCAUAUAUGUAUUACUUCGGUGCUUGGUAGUGGGACACUAUUGAGCUACCCAAAAUUCCCCAACCGAAACAAACAUUUCCAUUAUAAAAUGGCAAAU